rnacentral:rRNA from 1 species
UACGGAGGGUGCGAGCGUUGUCCGGAAUCAUUGGGCGUAAAGGGCGCGUAGGUGGCUCGCCAAGCGGGCGGUGAAAGCCUGGGGCUCAACUCCAGAACUGCCUUCGAUACUGAGAGUCUCGAGUCCGAGAGAGGUGAGUGGAACUGCGAGUGUAGAGGUGAAAUUCGUAGAUAUUGGGAAGAACACCGGUGGCGAAGGCGGCUCACUGGCUCAUUACUGACGCUCAGGCGCGACAGCGUGGGGAUCAAACAGG